UACGGAGGGGGCCAGCGUUGUCCGAAGUUACUGGGCGUAAAGCGCGCGUAGGUGGGGAGCUAAGUCUGCUGUGAAAGCCCGGAGCUCAACUCCGGAGGGUCGGUGGAUACUGGUUCUCUUGAAGGUGCUAGGGGGAGAUGGAAUUACCGGUGUAGCGGUGAAAUGCGUAGAGAUCGGUAGGAACACCAGUGGCGAAGGCGGUCUCCUGGGGCAUUCUUGACGCUGAGGCGCGAAAGCUGGGGGAGCGAACGGG
rnacentral:rRNA from 1 species